rnacentral:lncRNA from 1 species
GAUAGAACUCUUCGGCUCCCGGGAGGUGCUUAUGUGGGUUUUUAUCUCCCUCACAUGAAGAGGCAAGAAUGUAUGUCUGCAUGAGUGAGUCUAUGUAGCAGCGCAUGUGUGUACUUGCCUGAGUAGACUACGGCCAGGGAAGAAUGGAUUGAGAUCUCUUUCUAGCCCCUUGGAGUGAAUCCUACAGCUUGGAGUGGAGGCAUGACCUGAGGUCACAGAGCUGAUCCGUGUCUCCGUUGGAAAUGAUAGCCUGCCUAUGGCGAUUGAAUUGGGACCUCAGGCCUGGCUAUUCAACUGCCUUCUUGACAAGACUUGAUUCUGGGGGACAGGAAAAGGAAAGAUGGAGGUAGGGAGGUCUUAGAGUAGAAGGCAGAGGAAGACAGAAGAGCAAAGGCUUUGCAAUCCUCUCCCUGUUUGUGUGGCCUCAGGCACAGUCCCCAGGUGGUCUCCAUUUCCUCUUCCUGAAAAGGAGGCAGAGUCUUUCCUCCUUGGGCAGAAGACUGAGUGAACUUACUAAAGUAAUGGAGUAAAGGGCGCUGAACAGGUCUGGUGCCUCCCUGACACCUAGUAUGGUCAGCCACAGCAAAUGCCACGAAGGGAGUUGGACCUGCAGGUGUUGUCAAGGAAAGGGGUUUCCAGGUAUUGUGUUUCCUUUUGUAUUACCUGAGAGUCAAUUGCUUUCCUGGCCUGUGAUUCUUAUCUGUUGCUUGGUUGGCUUCUAGGAGCUGGGCAAUCUCCCCCAUCCAAGGGGAGAUUAGUCUGCAGUUUGCUCUUCUUGCACACUCAUGGUUUCAGGCAAUAUCCUCACUUUCCAUUUGUGUGAUAUUCUCCUCCAAAUCCACCUUCUCAUCUGAGGAUAGAGUCAAC